rnacentral:rRNA from 1 species
GACGAACUGUCCAAACGUUAUUCGGAAUCACUGGGCUUAAAGGGUGCGUAGGCGGCGCCGCAAGUGGGAUCUGAAAUCCCCCGGCUCAACCGGGGAACUGGGUUCCAAACUGCGGAGCUUGAGUGAGGCAGGGGUAAGUGGAACUUGCGGUGGAGCGGUGAAAUGCUUUGAUAUCGCAAGGAACACCGGUGGCGAAGGCGACUUACUGGGCCUUAACUGACGCUGAAGCACGAAAGCCAGGGUAG